CUUAUUUUCAGAAACUUCAUUCAGCGAUGUGAGCUAUGGAACUUUUGUUGAGCAACUAAGAACAGAGAGCGAUUCAAGAAAUUUCAGCGAAGCUUUUACUGAGGAAAACAAAAUCUCUAGGACUACGAAUCUCUUGGAUAAAGAAGCUGUUGGUGAAGCUCGUUGAGAUAAACAAUAACGAACAACAAGCUCGUUCUUCUUGGUGAAGUUUUUGAGGUUCGACCACGAAUUCGUCUUAAAGAAGACACAAAGAUAUAAGAAGUCAACUCUUGGUAAAGUAUAACUGUAGAAGAAUCGGUUAGAAACCUCUCUGUGUUCUUGUCUCAAUGUCGCUGCCCCAAAAAGUCUGUUGCAUUGUGGUGUCACUACUUAAGUUUUGUUCAAGAGCACGACCAAUCAGAUUGUACACUUUCUGCAGCUGGAAUUUCAAAGCUUUAUUGUGGACAAUUAGUGAUUUUUUAGCUCUAGCAAUGCUUUUUGGAUGGAGCACCAAGGGGAGAUGGUCAUGCACCACCUGUAAUCAUAAUAUCCCAAUAUCUCAAACAUAGUCGUAAGAUGUAUUACUUAGGUCAUCGGACAUUUUACCUCCUGAUCAUCCAUUCAGAAGAGAUAAAAAAUCAUUUAAUGGUAAAAAGGAGCAUAAAGUUGCACCUACUCCAUUAUCAGGUGCACAAAUUCUUGAAGAGCUUUGUGUAUUCAAUAACGUAUUUGAAAAGAACAAAAAGAAAAGAAAACGGAAGAAUGAUGGUGUAUGGAAAAAUUCAUAUUUUUUGAGUUGCCGUUUUGGGCAACAAAUAAAUUGAGGCACAAUCUUGAUGUGAUGCACAUAGAGAAGAAUAUUUAUUACAGUGUGCUUGAGUCUUUAUUGGAUAUACUUGAAAAGUCCAAAGAUCAUAUAAAUUCUCUCUAUGACUUGUAUGAAAUGGGGAUAAGCUUCAACCUCUAAAAGAUUGUGAUACAAGAAAUAUCCAUCUAGCUAAAACUUGUUUCUCUAUGACACCAGAUGAGAAAAAUUAAUUUUGCACCGUCCUAAAAGAUGCCAAAUUACCAAAAGGGUGUGAGUCUAAUAUAUCAAGUCGUGUACAAAUUGAAGAGAUGAAAGUAUCAGGAUAAAAAAGUCAUGAUGCUCAUUUCAUAAUGCAUUUAGAUCCAUAUUUAGCAAUGUUAUAAGAAAAGGCGAUCUUGAUAAGAUGAAAGUAGAAAUCGUAGAUAUUGAAUGCGAGCUUGAAAAGAUCUUAAGGCUUAAUCACUUCUAUCAUAAUCACAUUAUGUGUAGUCAAUACUAAAUCUAGUUUGAAUGUGUAACCUUCUAGAUUAAUCACUUCUCUGGGCUGCCUUCCCAAGGAGGUUACUAUACUUAAAUCUCAAAUCCUCCCAU